UACGAAGGGGGCUAGCGUUGUUCGGAAUUACUGGGCGUAAAGCGCGCGCAGGCGGUUUUCCAAGUCAGUGGUGAAAGCCCGGAGCUCAACCCCGGAAUUGCCAUUGAAACUGCAAAACUUGAGUACGAGAGAGGUGAGUGGAAUUCCCAGUGUAGAGGUGAAAUUCGUAGAUAUUGGGAAGAACACCGGUGGCGAAGGCGGCUCACUGGCUCGUAACUGACGCUCAGGCGCGAUAGCGUGGGGAUCAAACAGG
rnacentral:rRNA from 1 species